GACGAACGCUGGCGGCGCGCUUAACACAUGCAAGUCGAACGGAAAGGCCUGCUUUCCCUUGUGGAUUGCGGGUACUCGAGUGGCGAACGGGUGAGUAACACGUGAGUGAUCUGCCCCCAACUUGGGUAUAAGCCUGGGAAACUGGGUCUAAUUCCCGAUAGGACUGCAGGGUGGUGCCUGUGGUGGAAAACGAUUUUCUAGUGGUUGGGGAUGAGCUCGCGGCCUAUCAGCUUGUUGGUGGGGUAAUGGCCUACCAAGGCGGCGACGGGUAGCCGGCCUGAGAGGGUGGACGGCCACAUUGGGACUGAGAUACGGCCCAGACUCCUACGGGAGGCAGCAGUGGGGAAUAUUGCACAAUGGGCGGAAGCCUGAUGCAGCGACGCCGCGUGGGGGAUGACGGCCUCCGGGUUGUAAACUCCUUUCGACCGCGAGGAAGCCACCUGGUUGGAAGGGUGGUGACGGUAGUGGUAGAAGAAGCACCGGCUAACUACGUG
rnacentral:rRNA from 1 species